rnacentral:lncRNA from 1 species
UGGAGGCCUACAAAAACUACAGAAGUUUCUUCUUUCUAAGACUGUAGAUUUGAAAGAUUUAGAGGUAAACAGUCUUGAUGAAGGAAGCGGUAGGAUAAAAGAAAGGUUGAGUCAUAAGAGAGUUCUUAUAAUUCUUGAUGAUGUGAAUGAUUUGGACCAACUAAAAAGUUUAGUCGGAAAGCCUGAUUGGUUUGGUUCUGGUAGUAGAAUAAUCAUAACAACACGAGAUCAAGAUUUGCUACGACGGCAUGAUGUUGAUCAAAUAUACCAAGUGGAGAAAUUUAGUGAUCGUGAAGCUUUGGAGCUCUUCAAAAUUAAUGCAUUCAAAGAAAAUGAACAUAUGAGUGAUUACAUUGAACACAUAGAUAGUGUAAUACGUUAUGCUGAAGGGCUGCCUCUAGUUUUGGAAGUUUUGGGGUCACAUCUACGUGGUAUAAGUAUAGAUACAUGGAAGGAUACAUUGGAGUAUUACAAGAAAAAUCCCAAGCUUCAACAAUUUCUCAAAUUAAGUUAUGAUGCGCUUGAACCUUUGGUGAAGGAAGUUUUUCUUCACAUCGCAUGUUUCUUCAAAGGUGAAAAUAGGAACUAUGUGAUGACAAUUUUAGAAGGAUGUGAGCUACCUAAACAUGGGAUUGAAGUCCUCAUAGAAAAGGCCCUCAUACGUAUUACUAAAGCUAAUGGUAUUUGGAUGCAUGACUUGCUAGAAGAAAUGGGCAAAGAAAUUGUUUGUCAGGAGUCACCGGAGCCAGGAGAGCGUAGCAGACUGUGGUUGUACAAAGAUGUUUAUCAUGCUUUUGUGCAGAAAACUGUAAGUGAAUAUAUAUACUAUUUAAAAAGUUGUUCAUACAUAUUUAAGUACAAGUGUUUUAAAAUAUUUUAUACUGGAGUUUCUUAUAGAGGAAGAAUUGCUUUGGUAACCAUAUUGCUGUUCAUAUCAGGGUACAAGCAGAGUUAAAGGGAUUAUGGUUAAGGAAGGCAUACCAGAUCAACAAAUAACCUUGAAUAGGGAGAGCUUCAUAAAGUUGAACAAUCUUCAAAUUCUUAUAAUCUCUGAUGACAUAUUCUAUGGGGAUCAUGUGAAGUAUCUUCCCAACAAUUUGAGUCUCCUUCAUUGGGAGGAUUGUCCAUUACAGUACUUUCCAUCUAAUUUUUAUCCCGAGAAACUUGUUGUACUUAAGAUGAGGUUCGGCAAGGCAUUAUCUUCGUGGGGCAUACUUAAGGUAUAGUAAUAAUGAUUUAUAUUUUUUAGUAUAAAAACAACUUGUUUAAAGUAUUAGACUAUUAGUAAUAGCACUUUUUUUUUUUUUUCUUAAUUCAUACACUCUAUUGAUGAUGAGAGCCAAUAACAAAACAAAUAUGGUGGAAGGAGUUAGUAAAUAAAAUUGAAUUGUAGAAAUAAAAAUAACAGUUGAGGUGUGUAAAUUAGAAAAAAGAAAAGGUGUGUAAAUAACAGAUGUUUUAUACAGUUUAGCACAAAUUAUGAAUAUGUUACUAGACCGUAAAUUUAUUCACAAUUUUAUUUUGAUAUCUAAAUGUCAAGGCGCAUUACUAUAAAUUUUAUUUAUUGUAUUAUUUUUGAUAAUUUAAUUUUGGAGGUUAUAUAGACUUAUUCACAAAUUUAUCAUCACAUGCUGUGUAUUUUUUAAUUCAAUUAAAAACCUUUUCUUUUUUUUUUCCUUUUCAAAGGGAGGUUUUCAACGCAAAAUGCCUUGGAUCUGCACAUCACCAGUGGGGAAGAGACUACAGGUAACCUAAUUUUAAUGAAUAAUCUUUUAAAUUGACAACACUUAUCUGUUAAUAACUUUAUAUGUAUAUAUUCUAUCCUCGUUAGUAACUUUAUAUGUAUAUUCUUUCCACACAGAUUAUGCCCAAUUUAAAAUCAUUAGUUCUGCAAGAUUGCCAUGCUGUAACAACGUUUUCGGACUUCCCUACAUUCCCAAACUUAGAGGAGUUGAAAAUAAGAGACACUGUUUUUCAGAAAUUUGAAAUCGUGGAAGAGAUGAAAUCCUUAAAAAGGUUGGAUUUAAGUUGGACAUCAAUCAGAGAAUUGCCUUCUUCAGCAAUCCGAUAUCUCACUAAUCUGGAACAGUUAACUUUAAAAGCUUGCGAGAAACUUAAACAUGUGGCGUGCAACAUUUUUGAGUUGCAGCAUCUACAGCUUCUUGAUCUCUCGUUCUGUGACAAGCUGGUUAUAUUUCCAACAAAGUCAGAGUUUUCAACUGAAUCGGCCACUUUACAGGACAAGCACUAUGCUCCGUUAUUCGUCGAUUUGAUGUGUUGCUGGAAUCUUGUAGAAAUUGGAGAAUUUCCGCGAGAAAUAUAUGGCCUAGAUGCGACCAGGUGCCAAAAAUUGAAAAGAAUUUCAAAGUUGUCAAACAUGUUGGAAGGUAAAGACACGAGAAUGAUUCCUCGGAUGAACUUGUCUCAUUGCUCUGCCAUGUACCGCAAUAAGCGGGAUAGUGAGGCAUGGGGGACGGUAAAGAAUUUACCGUAUAACUAUUCUCUGUUUUUCUCAUGUCGGCAAUCGGAGUAUCAGGUCGUCUUUAACUAUGAUUAUGUUCCGGAGUGGUUCACCUGCCGCAUGGAUGUAACAAAUGUAGGACUUCAAGUGUGCAACUUCAGAAUUGAUUUUCCUGGAAAUUUCAAAUGGGAGGACAAAGGGUUGGCUUUCUGUGUUCCGAAUUGUUAUUGGGGGACACAUUUCAGCGUACUCAGAAUCUACAUUAAUGAUGUAUCCAUCGUUGAUGCAUCCGAAAAAAAACACGAAUUUACUUUCGGAUUGGGUGGUGGUUUUGUGUGGACCGUGUGGUUGUACUAUAUGCCAUUUGAUGCUAUAAUAAAGCGGCUGAGAGAGAGUGGGUUACCGCCGCCUUCCAACUGUCUGGUUAAGUUUGAAUUUCAAAUUGAAAGCAUAGAUUUUGAAGUUGACAGGGGGAGAAGCUGCGGAGUCCACGUAGUAAUGCCAGAAGAUGAAGGGCCAUUUGUCCAUCAACUGCUUGAUAAUGGGGACUGACUCCUACACAUAUCACUGCGAUCGAAACAUGAAUAUAAUCAAAUUCUGAUGCUAAGGUAACUGUUUUCUUGGUGCUACGUACUGAUCAUUAGCAAACAUGCUGUUGAGUUUCUACUGUAUAUCUAAUUAUGCCUAUGUUAAUAUUUUCAACAGUUAACUGAAGAAGGAAAACGGUGCUCACGUAUCAUCAAGUAUUCUAUUAAAAUUUCCAUGCGGUGAGAUUCUAUUAUCUGUAUCUGAAAUUUUUCUUUGCUUAUUUUAUUAAAUGUUGUUGUUUGAGGCCAUAGAAUACUAAGGUUACUAUUUGCUAGCUGUUUUAACUGGUGUAAACCAUUAAAAAUGAAGUUGAAUUCGUAUUCUCUGACUAUGGCUAUGUUGUUAUCUUCAUGUAAGAGGGUAGUCAUGGUACAGAUUCUAAAUGGCCAGGAAGCCAAAUAUUGAGAUUCUAUAAUGGUACAGAAAAUGUGGGCUAAGAUGAGGAGGGAAUCUGGUAUAUUCACAUUAUGAAGGUUUCUAUAAACAUUUGAAAUUGCCUUAAAAAGAGAAAUUGUACAUGUCUUAAUUUUUUCGUAUGCAUAUUUUGUCAAGGAGUUUGAAUUAAUGAGGUGUUGGAAAUUGGAAUCAUAUCCGCAUGGAGUUGAUAAAGAGUCAGGUUGUCUACAUCGACGGACUUGGUAAAUUCAAUACUAAUAGCUUGAUGUUAAAUUUUGAUGAUUAUGCCUACUCUGCAGUUAUCUUUAUUAUGGUUUUUGGAUGUUUUACUAGGUAAAUCCCUUAUGCUAAUGUUGGCCAUAACAAGAGUUGAAAUGAUGAAACUAGAUGGUCCAGACAUUGGUGACAGAGUGAAUGGUGACUGCUUCUGUCUGAACUCUGUAUUAGGUUUGGUACGUGUAGGUCGAGUGAUUUAAAUUUUCAGUGGACAUCUGUGUUUUCUCACAGAAAUUAGCAUCUCAGGACUUUGGAUAAAGGUGGACUGGACAAGUGGUUUCAUAGAGGACUUUGGAUUCUUCGUAAUUUUCUGCAAUGGACACAACAAUAUAUAUGUCGAUUAAGUCAGUUCUCACUUCUCAGGUAUGUAGAAUUGUAGUUAUAUAACACCGUUACUCUCAGUCUUAUACUUGAGUUCCUCUUUUCUUGUAAAGGUCAAGAGGUUGCCCGGUCCUUUCGGCACUUUUCUUGUAAAGCAGAAGUUACUUGUUGGCAUCUUGGCAAUAACGAUUAGAGAUGGUUGAGUACCUGAGUUGCUACUGUCUAAUUAUGGCAAGUUUCUUACCUUCAUGUAGGAUGCUACAGAGUUUUUAAGGCCCUGGAAACUCGAGUUUGUUAAAACAAAGGAAAUGUGGACUGAUAUGAUAUCAGAUAUGAUCAUAUAAAGGCUGGGACAUGGUGCUGACACUAGUAUGGGGUAUAUAAUCUAUAGCUCUUUACUUUAAACUUCCAUAUGUUCUAAAAUCUCUGUAAGGUGGAUUUAAUUGACAAGUUUGUUAUGCAAGUGUAACAAACUAUGGAUGGUAGUUUCGAGAUGGUCUGUGUAUUCCUUUCCAGUUCUAUUGCUGCAAAGAAACACUCUGAUCAUAUUCUACCAAUCUAGAUCACUAGGUGCAUGUAUAACAACUGGUUUUGUCACAAUCUAUGUUUUUGAGCUCUUCUUUUAUUUUAUUUUAUUGUUCAGUCCUUUUGGCACUUAUUUAUGACCUGUAAAGUAAGAGUUACUUGGUUGGCAUCUUGGCAAUAACGAUUUGAGAUGGUUGAGUACUUGAGUUGCAAUUGUCUAAUUAUGGCAAGUUUCUUCCCUUCAUGUAGGAUGUUACAGAUUUUUUAAGGCCCAGGAAUCUCUAUUUGUUAAAACAAAGAAAGUGUGGACUGAUAUGAUAUCAGAUAUGUUCGCAUAGAGGCUGCGACAUGGUGCUGAUACUAGUAUGGGGUAUAUAACCUAUAGCUCUUUGCUUUGAACUUGCCAUAUAUUCUAUGAACUAUGUAAGGUGGAUUUAAUUGACAGGUUUGUCAUGCAAGUGUGACAAACUACGGAUGGCGAGAUGGUCUGUGUAUUUCUUUCCAGUUCUAUUGCUGCAAAGAACCACUCUGAUCAUAUUUUUUACCAAUCUAGAUCACUAGGUGCAUGUAUAACAACUGGUUUAGUUGCAAUCUAUCUUUUUGAGCUCCUCUUUGUAACUUUUUUUCUUUUCUUUUUACUAGGUACUAAACCUGAUGCUUUGUUGGGCUGAAGGAGAGAGAUGAGAAUUUGAUGAAGCUUGCUGGUCAUGAUAUAUAUGGCUCAAGACAGGUAAUUGUGUCUUCAAGCUCUGCACCUGGUUAGUGAAUUGGCAUUGAAAGUUGGCCUCUUUUGUAUUCUCAGGAGGAAUUUGUAUCUCUGAGCUUGAUUGAACAUCAUCUUAUGAUUGAUACAAAAUGCAAUGUGAAGUUCAUACAAACACAAUCAAAUCUCUCUCGCUACUAAUCAGGGGAAUGAAGAGUCCAAUCUUCCAUCUAAACUUCGUGGAAUGACUGGUUUCCGGAUGGAUGACGGUCCUUUAAUUUAAGAAAGCAGAAUUUGACUGAGGAGGACCUUCGAGGCUUUGAGGAAAAACCCAUGGCAGUCUCUGCUGCAUCUCUGUGGUACCGUCCGGCCUGAAAAUAUUUGUCAUUUCUUCUGUGGUCAUCGCACAAUCUAAUGUAGUGCUUGUUCAUGUAACCUCAUGGUUGUAAACUGUACCUGUAUGUAUAACCAGGGAGACAUUUUAGUGAGGACUUUUCGGUUUACGGUUUAAAAAACAUAUUUUUCGAUCACAUAUUGACAUCUCAUCCGUUCCGUUUUUAAGUUUAUACAUGUAGAUCAGCCUUACAAAUUUUUAGCCAAAUCGAUGAUCAUUAAGGUAACAAAUUAGAUCAAAUUAAUAGAUGAACCAAAUUUAUUAAACAUGAAUCGUUCAAGUUCAUAAUUGGUAAAUCACACUUAUAAAUGUCUUAACGAUUUUCAAUAUGGCUGAAAAUUUACAGAAAUGAUCUACUCAUAAAUAUCUAUAAACUGAACGGUUAAGAUGUGGAUAUAAGAUCGGAUAAGCCAAAAAAUCCUGAACUUAAGGAUCCUCGUUAACCGAUGCUUCUAAAUUUGAAACGACAAAUUGAUUUUGGGCUUUGGUUCCUGGUUUAGUCUCUUAUGUUUAGAGAUGCUAUUGGAUGACUUAGAAGCGUGACUAUACAAAUUUGCGAUAGAUUAAACACCAAUUUGCAAAUUGCAGAAGUUGCAUGCCCCGAAAAUAAAUAAAUGAAAGAUUGACCGGGUCUCACUUCUCCAAGUUGUUAAAUCAAAAGAAGGGGGCGGCGGGGCGGUUCAGUUAAAUCAAUCUGAGGUCUCCUUUCAACCAACACCCAUUCUUCCUCUCUGAAGUCUGAAGUCAAGUUGCGAGUUGCAUCGAAAGUAGAAGGAAACUUGCUUGUCUGGUUCCCAAGGCCUUCAUAUAAUAUUAGGGAGUUCUGAUGAUCACUCAUUCUAGAGCCUCCUUCAUUCUGUAGAUCAAGUUAUAUCCUAUGGCAGCUCAAUUUGGAGCCUCUUCUUCUUUCUCUUCCUCUUCUGCUCCCAUUCAGCCAUGCACAUAUCAUGUCUUUCUGAGUUUCCGAGGAGAGGAUACCCGCAACACUUUCACAGGCCAUUUGUACAGCAAUUUGGUUCAGAAGGGAAUUAACACCUUCUUAGAUGAUGGCCUUAAAAGAGGGGAAGAAAUAUCAAGUUCUCUUCUUAAAGCAAUUGAAGAGUCCAAAAUCGCUGUAGUUGUGUUCUCUGAAAACUAUGCUUCCUCGAAGUGGUGUUUGGAAGAACUGGUCAAGAUCAUGCAGUGUAAUGAAUCGAGGAAACAGAUUGUGUACCCUGUAUUUUACAAGGUAGAUCCUUCACAUGUGCGAAACCAAACUGGUAGUUUUGGUGAGGCACUUGCUCACUAUGAUGAUUUGGAGAAGGUGGCACAAUGGAAGACAGCUCUUACAAAAGCAGGACAUCUUUCUGGGUGGCCUUUCUCACAUGGAGGGUAAAUCUUCUGCUUUACUUUCAUAGUAAUCUGUGACAUUGUUUUUCAAGCUUUUAAUCCCUUUACUUUAGGUUGUUUUUCAUUUUUACAAUAAUUGUUAUGUUUUUUUUCUGUACAAUCUGUGUUCUAUGUUUUUUGAUAUUCUGAACAUAUAUUUACUAGUAUUGCAUUUGAUAUUUUGUAUGCAUUUUGAUUGACAGGAAUGAGUCUGAUUUCGUUCAUAAAAUUGUUGAAGAGAUUUCGCAACAAGUAUCAAAUUUUACAUAUUUUAAUAGAGAUAAAUACUUAGUUGGAAUACAGUCUCGUUUAGAAAAUAUGGAAAAACUUCUAUGCGUUGGAGAAAGUGACAUACGAAUGAUAGGGAUAUGGGGCAUUGGUGGAUUAGGCAAAACAACAAUUGCUAAGGCUGUGUAUAAUUCAAUUGCCCCUAAAUUUGAAGGUAGUUGUUUUUUGGAAAAUGUUAGAGAAAGAUCGUUGAAAUACGGAGGCCUACAAAAACUACAGAAGUUUCUUCUUUCUAGGACUGUAGAUUUGAAAGAUUUAGAGGUAAACAGUCUUGAUGAAGGAAGCGGUAGGAUAAAAGAAAGGUUGAGUCAUAAGAGAGUUCUUAUAAUUCUUGAUGAUGUGAAUGAUUUGGACGAACUAAAAAGUUUAGUCGGAAAGCCUGAUUGGUUUGGUUCUGGUAGUAGAAUAAUCAUAACAACACGAGAUCAAGAUUUGCUACGACGGCAUGAUGUUGAUCAAAUAUACCAAGUGGAGAAAUUAAGUGAUGGUGAAGCUUUGGAGCUCUUUAAAA